rnacentral:rRNA from 1 species
AACGCGAAGAAAACUUACCUACUCUUGACAUCCAGGGAACUUAGCAGAGAUGCUUUGGUGCCUUCGGGAACUCUGAGACAGGUGCUGCAUGGCUGUCGUCAGCUCGUGUUGUGAAAUGUUGGGUUAAGUCCCGCAACGAGCGCAACCCUUAUCCUUUGUUGCCAGCGAUUCGGUCGGGAACUCAAAGGAGACUGCCAGUGAUAAACUGGAGGAAGGUGGGGAUGACGUCAAGUCAUCAUGGCCCUUACGAGUAGGGCUACACACGUGCUACAAUGGCAUAUACAAAGAGAAGCGACCUCGCGAGAGCAAGCGGACCUCAUAAAGUAUGUCGUAGUCCGGAUCGGAGUCUGCAACUCGACUCCAGAAGUCGGAAUCGCUAGUAAUCGUGGAUCAGAAUGCCACGGGAAUACG